rnacentral:rRNA from 1 species
AACGAACGCUGGCGGCAUGCCUAACACAUGCAAGUCGAACGAGACCUUCGGGUCUAGUGGCGCACGGGUGCGUAACGCGUGGGAACCUGCCCUUAGGUUCGGAAUAACUCCCCGAAAGGGGUGCUAAUACCGGAUGAUGUCUUCGGACUAAAGAUUUAUCGCCUUUGGAUGGGCCCGCGUUGGAUUAGCUAGUUGGUAGGGUAAAAGCCUACCAAGGCGACGAUCCAUAGCUGGUCUGAGAGGAUGAUCAGCCACACUGGGACUGAGACACGGCCCAGACUCCUACGGGAGGCAGCAGUGGGGAAUAUUGGACAAUGGGCGAAAGCCUGAUCCAGCAAUGCCGCGUGAGUGAUGAAGGCCUUAGGGUUGUAAAGCUCUUUUACCCGGGAUGAUAAUGACAGUACCGGGAGAAUAAGCUCCGGCUAACUCCGUG